rnacentral:rRNA from 1 species
AUACGGAGGAUCCGAGCGUUAUCCGGAUUUAUUGGGUUUAAAGGGAGCGUAGGUGGAUAGUUAAGUCAGUUGUGAAAGUUUGCGGCUCAACCGUAAAAUUGCAGUUGAUACUGGCUGUCUUGAGUACAGUAGAGGUGGGCGGAAUUCGUGGUGGAGCGGGGAAAUGCUUAGAUAUCACGAAGAACUCCGAUUGCGAAGGCAGCUCACUGGACUGCAACUGACACUGAUGCUCGAAAGUGUGGGUAUCAAACAGGAUUAGAUACCCUGGUAGUCCACACAGUAAACGAUGAAUACUCGCUGUUUGCGAUAUACAGUAAGCGGCCAAGCGAAAGCAUUAAGUAUUCCACCUGGGGAGUACGCCGGCAACGGUGAAACUCAAAUGAAUUGACGGGG